CAGAGAAUAGUUUAAUUAAAAUUUUAAUUUUGGAAAUUAAAGAUAAAAAUGAGUUUUUUUCUCUGA
rnacentral:tRNA from 1 species